UGGGGAAUUUUGGACAAUGGGCGCAAGCCUGAUCCAGCAAUGCCGCGUGUGUGAAGAAGGCCUUCGGGUUGUAAAGCACUUUAGGUAGGGAAGAAGUUGCAUAGUUUAAGAGAUGAUGUAAUUGACGGUACCUACAGAAUAAGCACCGGCUAACUCUGUGCCAGCAGCCGCGGUAAUACAGAGGGGGCAAGCGUUAUUCGGAAUUAUUGGGCGUAAAGGGCGCGUAGGCGGUUUUUUAAGUCAGAUGUGCAAUCCCCGAGCUCAACUUGGGAACUGCAUCUGAGACUGGAAGGCUAGAGUACUGGAGAGGGUGGUGGAAUUCCUCGUGUAGCGGUGAAAUGCGUAGAGAUGAGGAGGAACACCAGUGGCGAAGGCGGCCACCUGGACAGUAACUGACGCUGAGGCGCGAAAGUGUGGGUAGCAAACAGG
rnacentral:rRNA from 1 species